rnacentral:rRNA from 1 species
GACGAACGCUGGCGGCGUGCCUAAUACAUGCAAGUUGAGCGAUGAAGAUUGGUGCUUGCACCAAUUUGAAGAGCAGCGAACGGGUGAGUAACGCGUGGGGAAUCUGCCUUUGAGCGGGGGACAACAUUUGGAAACGAAUGCUAAUACCGCAUAACAACUUUAAACAUAAGUUUUAAGUUUGAAAGAUGCAAUUGCAUCACUCAAAGAUGAUCCCGCGUUGUAUUAGCUAGUUGGUGAGGUAAAGGCUCACCAAGGCGAUGAUACAUAGCCGACCUGUGAGGGUGAUCGGCCACAUUGGGACUGGGACACGGCCCAAACUCCUACGGGAGGCAGCAGUAGGGAAUCUUCGGCAAUGGACGAAAGUCUGACCGAGCAACGCCGCGUGAGUGAAGAAGGUUUUCGGAUCGUAAAACUCUGUUGGUAGAGAAGAACGAUGGUGAGAGUGGAAAGCUCAUCAAGUGACGGUAACUACCCAGAAAGGGACGGCUAACUACGUG